rnacentral:rRNA from 1 species
CAGCAGCCGCGGGAAUACGUAGGGUGCGAGCGUUAAUCGGAAUUACUGGGCGUAAAGCGUGCGCAGGCGGUUCGUUAAGACAGAUGUGAAAUCCCCGGGCUUAACCUGGGAACUGCAUUUGUGACUGGCGAGCUAGAGUAUGGCAGAGGGGGGUAGAAUUCCACGUGUAGCAGUGAAAUGCGUAGAGAUGUGGAGGAAUACCGAUGGCGAAGGCAGCCCCCAGGGCCAAUACUGACGCUCAUGCACGAAAGCGUGGGGAGCAAACAGGAUUAGAGACCCGCGUAGUCCCUGUCUCUUAUAC